GACGAACGCUGGCGCCGCGCUUAACACAUGCAAGUCGAACGGUGAACCGGGCUUCGGCCCGGGGAUCAGUGGCGAACGGGUGCGUAACACGUGGGCAACCUGCCCCUCACUCUGGGAUAACCCCGGGAAACCGGAGCUAAUACCGGAUACUCCGACCGGUCCGCAUGGUCCGAUCGGGAAAGGUCCGCCGGUGAGGGAUGGGCCCGCGGCCUAUCAGCUUGUUGGUGAGGUAACGGCUCACCAAGGCGACGACGGGUAGCUGGCCUGAGAGGACGACCAGCAACACUGGGACGGAGGUACGGCCCAGACUCCGACGGGAUGCAGCAGUGGGGAAUCUUGCGCAAUGGGCGAAAGCCUGACGCAGCGACGCCGCGUGGGGGACGAAGGCCCUCGGGUUGUAAACCCCUUUCGGCAGGGACGAAGCGAUCGUGACGGUACCUGCAGAAGAAGCCUCGGCUAACUACGUGCCAGCAGCCGCCGCAG
rnacentral:rRNA from 1 species